UUGUAAACCUCUUUCAGCAGGGAAGAAGCCACAAGUGACGGUACCUGCAGAAGAAGCGCCGGCUAACUACGUGCCAGCAGCCGCGGUAAUACGUAGGGCGCAAGCGUUGUCCGGAAUUAUUGGGCGUAAAGAGCUCGUAGGCGGUUUGUCGCGUCUGCUGUGAAAGCCCGGGGCUCAACCCCGGGUCUGCAGUGGGUACGGGCAGACUAGAGUGCAGUAGGGGAGACUGGAAUUCCUGGUGUAGCGGUGAAAUGCGCAGAUAUCAGGAGGAACACCGAUGGCGAAGGCAGGUCUCUGGGCUGUUACUGACGCUGAGGAGCGAAAGCAUGGGGAGCGAACAGGAUUAGAUACCCUGGUAGUCCAUGCCGUAAACGUUGGGCACUAGGUGUGGGGGACAUUCCACGUUCUCCGCGCCGUAGCUAACGCAUUAAGUGCCCCGCCUGGGGAGUACGGCCGCAAGGCUAAAACUCAAAGGAAUUGACGGGGGCCCCGCACAAGCGGCGGAGCAUGCGGAUUAAUUCGAUGCAACGCG
rnacentral:rRNA from 1 species